UACAGAGGGUGCGAGCGUUGUCCGGAAUCACUGGGCGUAAAGGGCGCGUAGGUGGCGACCCAAGUCGAUGGUGAAAGCUCGCCGCUCAACGGCGAGUCGGCCACCGAUACUGGGUUGCUGGAGCACUGUAGAGGCAGAUGGAAUUCCGGGUGUAGCGGUGGAAUGCGUAGAGAGUCCGGAAGAACACCGGUGGCGAAGGCGGUCUGCUGGGCAGUUGCUGACACUGAGGCGCGACAGCGUGGGGAGCAAACAGG
rnacentral:rRNA from 1 species